rnacentral:rRNA from 1 species
UACGGAGGAUCCGAGCGUUAUCCGGAUUUAUUGGGUUUAAAGGGUGCGUAGGCGGUUUGAUAAGUUAGAGGUGAAAUGUCGGGGCUCAACCCCGAAACUGCCUCUAAUACUGUUGGACUAGAGAAUAGUUGCGGUAGGCGGAAUGUAUGGUGUAGCGGUGAAAUGCUUAGAGAUCAUACAGAACACCGAUUGCGAAGGCAGCUUACUAAGCCAUAACUGACACUGAAGCACGAAAGCGUGGGGAUCAAACAGG